CCCGCAUACCCGCAGUCCGCAAC
rnacentral:siRNA from 1 species